CCUACGGGGGGCAGCAGUGAGGAAUAUUGGUCAAUGGACGAGAGUCUGAACCAGCCAAGUAGCGUGAAGGAUGACUGCCCUCUGGGUUGUAAACUUCUUUUAUAAAGGAAUAAAACGAGGCACGUGUGCCUUUUUGCAUGUACUUUAUGAAUAAGGAUCGGCUAACUCCGUGCCAGCAGCCGCGGUAAUACGGAGGAUCCGAGCGUUAUCCGGAUUUAUUGGGUUUAAGGGGAGCGUAGAUGGGUUGUUAAGUCAGUUGUGAAAGUUUGCGGCUCAACCGUAAAAUUGCAAUUGAUACUGGCAGUCUAGAUUACAGUUGAGGUAGGCGGAAUUCUUGGUGUAGCGGUGAAAUGCUUAGAGAUCACGAAGAACCCAGAUUGCGAAGGCAGCUUACUAAACUGUGACUGACAUUGAUGCUCGAAAGUGUGGGUAGCAAACAGGAUUAGAUACCCUGGUAGUC
rnacentral:rRNA from 1 species